CAAUUGCGAAGAUUUUUUUAAAUGUGAAAAAAUUUGCAUGGUAAUAAUCUUCUUCUUUUCUUUUUAAUUACUAUUUUUAAUAUCUAUUAAAUUGUUCAGAAUAUGAUGAAAGAAGCAAGAAUAAAAAGAUGGAAAGAGGAAGAGAGAAAUGUAUUAAAAAAUUUUAUCGUCAAAAAAAUUGUAUUUAUAUAUGUAAGUAUAAUCUAAUCUAAUCUAUCCGGAUUUUUCGCAGACGAUGCGUGCAAUUGUAACGGUGCAACAGCACAAAUAUAUAUUAUCAUUUCUUGUUUGUUAUCAUUAUAUUCAUCUACUUGUGUGUUUUUAUUAAUUUAAAGGAACGUUUAACCAGUUUUCCAAACAACAGUAACAACAAAGAGAAGAAUAGACAAAAUAUUAGUUCAAACAAAUUGAUUCGAUAUUUUCUUUUUUUAAAUUUUUACCUUUGCUUCAUGAUUCUCGAAUUUCUAAGGAGAGAGCGAUAAUAAUGAUAUUGAUAAAGACAAAAAGAAAUAAUUGAUCACGAUGAAGGAAUAAUAAUGGAUAUUUAAAUGUGAUCACGACGAAUGUUGUAUUAACACUGGAACAAAUGCAACUCGAGAAAAUAUAGAUGAAAUACACGUAGUUUCUGGUAAAUGCGUUUCAUGACCUCGUUCUUAUCGGUACGAGGAGUCAAUCGAUGACCGCCCGCAAAUCACGGGUCAACGACUCGGUCAACAACGAGCUCCCUCACAAUAACUCUAUAAAUCUCGGGACACUUUCUGCGAAUCGGAAGUCAUAAUGCUGUCGUUUCCACUUCUGAUGCUCGAUGGAACGUUGCAUAUAGAGUUGUUUGCCAGUUUUCUUUCGCUACUUCGGAAAUGAUCUCAUUUGCACGAUAUCCAACUUCAAAAAAAAUAGCUGAAAUACAAAAAAUUUCAAAUUUCAAAAAUAAAAUCAUCGAACUGCAGACUCAUAAAACUUUCAACGUGAAUGAAAAAAUCGAGUCUGUUCGCAGCCAAGACUACGUACAAAUGAUAUAAAUAUACCGGGACAAGUUGUUAAAGUCACUAUUCGACAUCUUGACUCGUUGCUUGAUUAACGAGAUAUCUAUUUUCAAAGGCUAUAAUUUAUAAUGAUAUUUUUUUCCACUAUUAACUACGUUUUGUGAAUUUAAAAUUAAUAGUUGAAAAAAAAAACAUUCACAAAUAAUAUAAUCGAAUCUUCUUGGACAAUUGAUUGCAACAAUGAACGAAUGUUGGAUUGUAUCUACUAUAUCUAAAAUUAUGAAGGUUGUAUUUCCAUAAUCAUAUCUUAUAGAAUAUUUUAUUAUUUUUAUUUAUCUUUUUUUAUGUUUUUCGAAAGAAAAAUUAUCUAAACAAUAUUCAGCAAUAUAUGUUGCUUACUUAUAUUAUUUUGUUAUAUUUUUUUUCAGAAAAAAUUUUUUUUUCAAAAAAUUAUUCCUAAUCAUUUAUUUAAUUUUAUAUAUCAAGUAUAUAGAAGAGCUGAAUCAUUAAACUCGAAUGUAUAUGUAGGUUAUCACGAUAUUUGACCUGGUUCUGAUAGUUUUAUAAAAGAAAUUUUUCCAAAGAAAUUAAAAAAGCAUUGUACAUUUGCUUUUUCGUAUUCUUAACAUAUAUAUAUAUAUAUAUAUGGAAGAAUUAAUGCAAAACGUUUAGUCAACAGUUUCGAUCACGAUCGAUCAUUUCUUCAUCCUAAAGGGGAAUCGAUGUGAGUCAUUGUCUCGGUCGUGACCUUUUGCUCGAUGACUAAUUUCUCGGCUGAUUUUAUGUUAAAUCACCGCAGAUAUGUGAGAACAACCGACUCUCGCGAGCUACGAACAAUCGCGUUGUGAAGGCGGUUUUCAUUGUUCUGUCUAGUCAUGCAUGAUGCGGUCAUAUUCAAAAUUAUAGAGAGGUAUCAAAGGUGUAAAUCAUUUCUUCUCUAUCUCUAAAAAUAUCUACUUUCUUUUAAAGAUUUGAUCGAUUAAACAUCCUUUAAAUUUUUCAAUUAACUCUUAAGGAAUUUCCAUAGAAACGCGAAUGUACAAGACUUACUAAUGUUUGAAUUAACUUUCUACUGGUAGAGAUGACUAGAUGAAUCGACAUGCGGUCGCUGUCUCGUUACGCAAACACCGACAUGGUGAUAAAAAAAAAAAUAAUGCAACACCACCUGCGGGUAGCUAAAUGUAUGCUGCAACUGUCGGCUCUUUCUCCCUAAUGUGUUGCUUCAUUCUGUUUGCACACGAGUUGCGAAACUUCUAAAUUUAUCAAUUGAAAGUAAAAAAUAUUUUAAUUAACUAUUUCAAAUUUUUUAAUCUUAUUAUGGUACUAUCGAUCCAUAAUAUGCAUUUAAGUUAUAAAUCAAUAUUUAAUAUCAUAAUCAUAUUAGAUAAGGAUCAAUAUUUUUAAUAAAAAAAAUCAAUGAGUUUGAUUUCUUUUGUAAUUCUAAUAUUAAUUCCAGGCGUCGAAUCAAUAAUUAUUCUAUAGUCUUGCAAAUCCAAUAAUUAUUCUACAAGUAGAGAAUUAAAAGCGAAAGCGAGCCUCACACUCGAGGCAAUUGUUAAUUCGAAUUACAAAACUCUCAUGAAAUCUAUUCCUCUGAACCUUCUGAAACAAUCUUUUCUUGUUUUUCCCUAAUUAAAAGUUAAAAGACGUUCGUGCCCUUCUUUCAUGGUCUAGUUUCGACUUCAAUGUGCGUUUCGCUGACGCAGAAGGAUUAAAAAGUAAAAACCUGGUCUCGAGCCGAUGGUUGGAGGCAAUUUUCCGCUGUCUUCGAUACGCGAUCCAAUCGGUCACAGCUUCUUCACGUGAUGCCGCGUAAACAGGCAGUUUACUGUUGCGUUUUUCAUCGCGAGAAAUGGGGUCGCGUUCGUUCACCGAGGGAACAACGUCAUCUCAUGAGUCAAAGGAAAAAGGGCCUUCGAGGUGUUCGUCCGUGUUCACCUUCGCGCCGAUUCCAUUGUGAAAAGUUAUACGCCGUUUUAACGAGGCCGGCUAGCAUGUUCUGAUGCAUCCACCAAAAAUAUUCAUCCAACUGAAUAAAACAGAAUUUCAUUUCAUCUUCCUGAUGAUUACUAUGGAAUCGAGUCUCAGUGAGAAUAUUGUAACAAGAUUGAAUUUAUCUGAUAUAUAUUGUUUCUCAUCUUUUCUUAAAUAAUGAUUUCAUUUUAUAAUUUAGCUAAAUAACAAAUGGAUAUUUGGAAUUUGAUAUAUAUAUAGA